UUCCUAUACCCUGUGUUUGUUCAAAUCCUGUGUCUGUUCAACUAAAUUCGCAGACAGAUAUAGAGUGUUAUUCCUUGUUUUUGGUGCUCUAGAAGAUGGUAACGUGCAAGACAAGAACUUGCAAUGGCUCUUUAAGAAUCUAUGGUUUCUCACCUACUCUGCAUUUCGUUUCUUAUCUGGCGGCAGCUUGCAAGUUGUAACCAUUCAUCUCAGUGGAGAAACUGUGCGCAUCGAAGUUAUGAUUUGCUUUAACACCCUCUUACAAUUUAUUUGAUAUCUAUAAGCAUCUUCAUAGUAUCCAUGCAUAUCUCGUCAUAAUUAUUAAAUCUCGUCCUCCGUCAGCUAUCUGGUAAACUUAUGAUCUAUAGCCUGAGUUUUAAUUUUGACAUCUACAUGAUCAACUCAGUUAACCUAGUGGAUUGACCGGAUAAACUGAUCACAACUCGUAACUUGAAUUAGGUUGGGUUUUAAUUUAAGUUUAUUUUGACAUUUGUCUCAUUAAUUUCCACAGUAUCAAACUUGACAGUUGACAGAAUGAAAACCAAGGUUUUUCUGAAAGAUUUUGAAACCAUAUUAUUUUUGAUAUAAAUGAUAGGCUU
rnacentral:lncRNA from 1 species